GAUGAACGCUAGCGGCAGGCUUAAUACAUGCAAGUCGAGGGGUAGCAAGAUUGUAGCAAUACAAUUGUUGACGACCGGCAAACGGGUGCGGAACACGUACACAACCUUCCUACAAGUGGGGAAUAGCCCAGAGAAAUUUGGAUUAAUACCCCGUAACAUAGCGAUGUGGCAUCACAUUGCUAUUAUAGCUUCGGCGCUUGUUGAUGGGUGUGCGGCUGAUUAGAUAGUUGGCGGGGUAACGGCCCACCAAGUCUACGAUCAGUAGCUGAUGUGAGAGCAUGAUCAGCCACACGGGCACUGAGACACGGGCCCGACUCCUACGGGAGGCAGCAGUAAGGAAUAUUGGACAAUGGACGCAAGUCUGAUCCAGCCAUGCCGCGUGAAGGAUUAAGAUCCUCUGGAUUGUAAACUUCUUUUAUAAGGGACGAAAAAAGGUCUUUCUAGAUCGUCUGACGGUACCUUAUGAAUAAGCACCGGCUAACUCCGUGCCAGCAGCCGCAGUAAUAC
rnacentral:rRNA from 1 species